AUUGAACGCUGGCGGCAUGCCUUACACAUGCAAGUCGAACGGCAGCACGGGAGCAAUCCUGGUGGCGAGUGGCGAACGGGUGAGUAAAGCAUCGGAACGUGCCCAGUCGUGGGGGAUAACGUAGCGAAAGCUACGCUAAUACCGCAUACGAUCUGUGGAUGAAAGCGGGGGACCGUAAGGCCUCGCGCGAUUGGAGCGGCCGAUGUCAGAUUAGGUAGUUGGUGAGGUAAAGGCUCACCAAGCCGACGAUCUGUAGCUGGUCUGAGAGGACGAACAGCCACACUGGGACUGAGACACGGCGCAGACUCCUACGGGAGGCAGCAGUGGGGAAUUUUGGACAAUGGGCGCAAGCCUGAUCCAGCAAUGCCGCGUGCAGGAUGAAGGCCUUCGGGUUGUAAACUGCUUUUGUACGGAGCGAAACGGCUUCCACUAAUACUGGGGGCUAAUGACAGUACCGUAAGAAUAAGCACCGGCUAACUACGUGCCAGCCGCCGCAGUAACAC
rnacentral:rRNA from 1 species